UCUCAUUUUCCUUUCCUUGGAGGAUGUGUUCUUUUGAGAGACUUUACACCAGGAAGAGUUCCUUUUAAAAUUGGCCUGGGUGGCAGAGGUCAGAACAUACACAAUUCAACAACAACUUGCGCCACCCACCUCCAAUUCCCUGCUCUACAGGACCAUCCUGACUUCCACAGUGACCCGAGCACUGGCAUUCCAAGGACUCAAAUGACCACCUUCCUCGCCCUUCAAUAAGAGCGAACAUGUGGAUAAAACAUCUCAGGACAGCCCUUCCAGGGAAAAGAAAGAAGAUGAAUUUUUUAAAUAUCUCCUGUCUCUCAUUUGGCAAAGAUUUGCCACAUACAUAGCUCCCCUGCACUUUCAAGUUGCGUAUGCCCAAGCCCUGAGUAUGCCUGCAGCCCUUCUACCCGAAACAGGGGUUCGGUUAACCUGCAGCAACAGGUAGACACGAAGUUGAUUGGACCACUAUCAUAGCAUCAACUGGGACAGAAGAAGUGGACAAGGACCUGGAAGACAUGUGAGACCGAGAGAAUCACAGGUGGGGCUGAAGGGGUAUCUGAUACUUUGCUCACAAAUUUGCUAGAGCUCUCAGACUAAGGACUGCCUGAAAAAGCAAGAUUCCAUAAAACUAUCUUUGAGGUUUACUGGGACAAAUGUCACUUGACAGUACCUGUGCUGUAUGGUUCAGGUACUGUCUUGGAACAUUUUUUUUAAUGACAAAUUUUCUUAACAUUCAGUACAAUGCCAUUUACACUCUAUAUGAACCAUAUUUGCUGUGACAUAUAUGUACCAAAAAAUAAUGCAACAUAGUCCUGAGGUCAAGUUUAUCAACUGAACAUCAUAUAGUGGAACAUACUGCUAACAGUACAAACUCUCAUUCCUCCUUGAGAGUUUCCAAUAGUGAAAAAUCCAAGAGAAUUUUUACAUAAACACAGAUAAGCAUGGUGGGUCAGCACAUUUCUUCCAUACAGAUAAAUACAAUCCAAAACUUAUCACGUCAGCUUCUACUCUGAUCCUGAGAGGAGAUGAAGAUGCUUGGAUAAGAGAGAAUUGUUUUUAAAUUGUUCACAUUCAAAGGGGUGGGUAAACACCCAUACAAUUGUAUUGGAGUACUAGAGUUACUAUACUGUGAAUACAAAUCCACUGAAGAGAGUGGUUACCUAGGUCCGGGAAAAUGCAGGAAAGUUUCAAAAAGAGUUUUCAUUUAGGUGAGGCUUUAAAGAAUAAAGAAAGUCUCUAGGAGGCAGAGAAAGGGAAUGGCAUUCUAGACAUAAACAACAGCAAGAGAGAAAGGCUCCUUUCCAGUAAACAUAGUACUUAUUGAACUAAGAAACAUCUACUCAUCUACGAACUUUGUAUGCAUAUGGUGUUAGGGACUUAAGAGUUUCUCUCAUCCAAACCCAGGACUUGAAUGUGAAUUUGAAUUAGAAUGAGGAGAAAGGAUCGGUCCAAAGAAGCAUUAGAAUAGAAGCCAGAGAGGAUACUGGUACUCAAGUCCCCAGGCACAUCCAAUGACAAUGACAGAAACUCUCCUUUUACAUCUCUGCUUCUUGCUCUUGGGUGAUCAAGACCCAUUACCAUUGUCUAGUUUCCCAGUAGGACCUCAGUUGUCAACAUUGCAUUAAGUGAUAGGGUAUGGUCGUGAGCAAAGUGAAGGCAUGGAGAGUUUCAGAAAAUCCUGACCAGGGAUGAAAAUUUCCCUGGGUUCUACCUACCCACAUGCCUUAACUAAUUGAGCACAACCUUUGUGCUAGGGUCCAUUAUCUCUAGUGAUUAUUUUUAUAUAUUAUAUGGUAAUUUCUAAAAAGCAUAAACAUUUUAAAAGAUUUUUGCUUUUUCUGCCUUUUUGCAAACUAGUAAAAAUGCAUUGCCUUUUUUAUUUUUGAGACAGAGUCUGGCUUUGUCGCCAGGCUGGAGUGCAGUGGCGCGAUCUCUGCUCACUGCAACCUCUGCCUCCCGGGUUCAAGCAAUUCUCCUGCCUCAGCCUCCCGAGUAGCUGGGAUUACAGGCGCACACCACCAUGCCCGGCUAAUUUUUUUUGUAUUUUUAGUAGAGGCGGGGUUUUUCACCAUGUUGGCCAGGAUGAUCUCUAUCUCCUGACCUCGUGAUCCGCCCACCUAGGCCUCCCCAAGUGCUGGGAUUACAGGAGUGAGCCACCACGCCAGGCUGCCUUUUUCUGAAUUUUGUUUUUGACGAUUGAUUUAUAUAUAUACUUACUUAAAAAAUUUUAGAACACGAUUAACGUUUUCUUCGAUUCAAUAAUCCUCUAAAGUAGCAUGGUAAACAGAAAGAGGGAAAAUUUUAUUUCAGGAAAUUCUACAAAAAAUGAGGAGUAUAUUUUUAAAAAGUGUUAACUUAUAUAUUGCCUUCUCCAUUAAAAAAAUUCUGAUUACCUUAAGAAAAACUGUAUACAACUUUUUAGAUGAAAAUAAUAUAUUAUGCAACCUCUAUUUUUUUUUUUUUUUUUUGAGGGUGGUGUUGGAAUCCUUAAAUAGGUUGCAUUUUACUUUUAAUUGACUUCUGAACACUCAUGUGCUGUGCUGGCAAUAUUUACUAAAGAGUAAUACUUUAUCUUCUAUUAGCUUAGAAAUGUCAUAAUGUUGAAGCUCCACAGCUAAAUUUCUAUGGUGAAUAUCAACUACUUUUGGAACAUAUUGUUAACCUAUUCUACCAAGUGUCAAAAAUUUUGCUCAAGAAAGAAAUGCAAUUUCCUGGACUAUGAACCAGCUUUUGGUGCAUAGACACAUAUCUAAUAUACUUAAUGUUAAAUCCUGCAGUACUUGCAUAUCAAUGUAUUAACAAAAACCCAGAACGUUCCUUUAACUAUUUACAUACAUUUCACAACUUCCCUUUCGAUUCAGAAUUGCUUCACCUAUAAUUUUUGUGCUUUCCAGAGCAUUACAACAAUGUGAUACAAUGGGGGUUGUUGUGAAAACCACUAGAUCAUUUCACCUACUCCAAAAUGCAGGGGCAGCUUGCUUGCUUAAGUGUCUCAGGCAGAUGGAUCAUAUUAACGUCUGUGCACUACAGCUUGCCCUGGCUACCAGGGUGUUUCUGGAUGCAGUUCAAAGCGUUGACUUUGAUCUAUGAAGCUGUAUACAUUUUAGGCCAGGAACUAUUUAUCCUAAAAUCACCCAUAGUGGGCAAGAUGAAACAGGGAACCAUUGUUGAAGCUGCCAGCAUCAUAAUUCAAAGUUAGUAGCUUUCUCGGUAAUGUCCACCAAGUUGCCAUUACCUGAAGAAUUCAACUGCACUUUUACUAUCCUCUUAACUGUAUAGCCUAAUGUGGAAGAUAAAAGUAUAACUUUCAUAUAGCAUAAUAUCUCAUGUAUUAUGACUAAAUAAAGUUAAAUACUUUGGUAUAUUUAAUUUACAUGUUAAUAUCUUACAUAUCCUCAUUAAAGUAUGUAACUUUUUUUAAAGAAAUGGAACAUCUUAAUUUCAGAUAAAGUUUUAUAUGCAUAAGGACUUAUCACUAUUAAUGUAGAUCCUCAAAAUUAAAAAAAUGAAAUAAUCCAUAGUUUUUUAAAAAAAGGAAAAGUGAUUGAAUGUAAAUAAGCCAAAAUAACAAAAAUAAUUAAAAUCACCCAUCAUUCUACUGAUGCAGGGCAAGUAAGCCCCCAAAUUGGGGCUUAGCCCAGGAGGAUUCUUGGCUUCACCCAGGAAAGAAUUCAAGGGUAAGCUGGUGGGGUUAGGCAGCAACUUUUAUUGAAGCAGCAGCAGAGGUGUUAUUCCUUGCAAAGCAGGGAUACCCCAUAAACAGUGUACCCAGAGCAGUGGCUCAGAGGCAGUUCUGCAGUCAUAUUUAUACUCACUUUUAAUUAUGUACAAAUUAAGGGACAGGUUAUGCAGAAAUUUCUAAAAAUAGGGUGGUAACUUCUGGACCAUCAGGUUAUUGCCAUGGAAAGGGAUGGCAACUUCCAGGUGUUGCCAUGGCAAUGGUAAACUGACAUGGACCGAGUGGGCAUAUCUUAUGGGGAGGUGCUUUUGCUUCUUCCCUGUUUGAGCUACUCUUCAAUCUGGUCUAGAGCCUGAGUUCUGCCUUCUACCUCACUACCACCCAGAUUUUGUAUAAGGUUUAUAAUGGCUUUGAAUUCAGCAAAAGGCUAAAUCUACCAUUAACCAAGUGAAGAGACAUUCAUUUAGCUCCUUAUUUAUUCAUUUAUUUAUUAACUAAAACAGUGCUACAGACUGAGUUAAAAAGACAAAUGAGACUUGGAACCUAGUCUAAAUUAAGAGAAAUCAUGUCAAUAAUUAAUUACAAUAUACAUACUAUAGUGUUGUAAUAGUAACAGUUGAGGAAUAUUUAAACGAGAGUAGUGGCCCAGAUGACUUAGUAACUAACUCAGUUAGAGGCAGUGAAAGUAAAAUUUAAGGAAACUUAAGCUAGAUCUUGAGGAAUGAAUUCAACCGUAUCAGACAGACCUAGGGAGAAGAAAGAGGAAAAGCACUAACUCUGGUACUAAGGUCUGGAUUUAAAUUGUAGGCUCUACCUGACACCUGUUAUCUAAAUGAUCUGCAAGUUACUCAAUUACUCUGUGCUUCAGGUUCCUCCUUUCUAAAAAAUAAGGAUAAUAUUUACUUCAAAUAGUAGCUUGGGGUUUACAUGAAUUCAUCUACCUAAAGUACUUAGAACAGCAUUAGCUACUGUUAUAGACAUGUGAAACAUCAGGACACAUUUCAGAAACUGUAAUUAUUUGGGCCCUUGAGUACAGAGAGAGCUGGGGAUUUGUAGAAAAUGAGGCUAGAGGAUAAGUAUGGGUCAGAUAAUGAACAAGCUUAAUUACUUGCAAUGAUAAGGAGUUCGGACUUUAUCCUCAAGGCAAAGGAGAGCCAACUGAAAUCUAUAAAACAGAGGGGUAAUGUAAUACAAUUUUUGUAUAAGCAAAAUAACUCUGGUGAUAAUGGGGAGAAGAGAAUGGAUCUUAGAAAGAGACUGGAGGUGGGGAAAAUAGUUCAGAAACAAAUCACUACCACAGUCAUGCAUUGUCAGCAGUUAUGGAAGUUCCCUUUGCAUUUUCCACAUUUUUAAUGAAAAGCUGAAAAAAAAAAAAGCUCAAAUUGACGUUACCCUAAAAAAGGAAAGAAAGAAAGAAAGAAAAAGGCAAACAACAUAAGAAAACAACUCAUUAAUGCCAUUUUCAUUCUUCCUUUUCUAUAAAACACUCCACGUAUCUCCAAAGCUCUAUUUGCAUCCCACCUCCUUGAGGUCUCCUCUAAGGAUUCCAGGCCUAGGGCCAGGGCUAUGCUUCAUUCACAUCUCCAGAGAACUAAGCAGAGCUGUAGAUCUAAAUAUAUUUAGAAACUGACAAAUAGUUUUUGAUUAAUUAACAUCAAGAGAGGUGUUUAGGACAAAUUUCACUGAAACGAGAAUGGUGUGCCCUCUGGAAAGGAGGAAAAAAACCUAGCAUUUUAAUGAAAUAAGAUGACCAGCUUUACUAGAAUCAAAAUCUAGAAUACCUACGAGCAUAAUUUAACUAUGAAAGAAAAAAUUGCCUAUGUAUAAUUUCUUUCUCUCAUUCAGGGGCACGCAAAACAGCACUUGUGUUUUGAUUUGUUUUAGCUUUUCAAUUUUGUAUGUUUGUACAGUUGUCAGUAAACCUCAUUUAAUUAUUAUUUUACAAUAUUUAUUGGAAUAAAUUAAAGAUAUUUUACUACACACUGGUACUUUCUACUCAGAUGAUAUUUAUAGGAAAGGUAAUCAGUAUUUUUCUAACUCAUUUCUACUGCAACAAUUGGCAGAGAUUAGAGCCAUUCAUACAUAAAAUAUACGUAAUUUUUUCUCUUAAAAUAUGAAAUAUCCUUCUUGAACCUAAUAAACGUUGAUUCACGUUCUCCAGUAUUUUUAAACCUAAAGAACACUUUUUAGUCUAUAUUAAAAAAUAGCUCCACACUUUCUCUAGAGGAAAUUCUACUCCGGGGAAAUGUAGAAAUGAAAAUCUCGGGUGAGUAGCAAGGGCUGGGAAUAACUGAAUGGCGAUAUGUCUCUGAAUUAGAAGUUGUAAUAAACCAGCUGCUUGAUCUGGUACAGGGCUUUUCAUGCUAAGGCUGGGUAGUGGAAAAUGUUAAGGAGAAAUUUUCCAUUCAUCUCGCAUACUUCACUGCUUAGAAAUAUGAACCACCUGUAACAGGAGCCCCAGGGGAUUAACAAAAGUCGUGCAGAUUACCCGUUAAUGGCUCAGACCCCCUUCUGUUUGAAAUUCAGCCCUUUUUUUCUCUCUGAACAUUUCAUGAUCUCCUCCACUAAUUAUCUGGAAUUCGUUUGUAAUAAAUGCCUUAUGUUUCCCCUACUGAGGCAUGCUUGUUCACUAACAUUUCACUUUCUCUGUGUGAUGUGAGUACCACAAUAGAAUUCCAAAUGAAGAAAAGAUAAACUUUGGGUUGAGUUGUGUUUGCUUUAGAAAAGGAGAGAAAAUAAAAGUGUUUAUUUGGGCUGGGCUGAAUGGUCUGGUCAUUGCAUUUUCUCUGUUGAUUCUUUCAUUUUCUACUUCACUACAGACAGAAAAAAAUAUAUAUAUUUUUUAAUUCUUGGGUAUAAUCAAACUUGUCAUUGAACUGAGUGUACAACGUUUUAAAAAUUAUUUUAAAGAUGCCAUUCUAUUCUUUAUUUAGUCAACAUACACAUAUAUUUGGAUCCAGGACUCCAGCAAAUCUAUUAUGUAUCAGCCUUUGGGUUAUUGCAUGAUGCCAAAUGAUAUUCUUAGAGACCUGCAUCACUGGAGUGUUUCUAAGAAACAUUUAGUACCUGUAUGCUUAAGUGCAUAAAAUUUAUUUGCUUUCACGAUGAGGAAAUAGUUUUUGUUCCUACUUAAUAAAAUAGCUAAAAGAUCAUUUUGGCUGCAGCUCUGUCAGUUUCUAGACCAGUGCUUCUCAAUAGGGUGCAAUUUAGCCACCCCGCAACCCCCGCCAAGACAUUUGACAUUGACUGGCACAUUUUUGUUUGUCACAAGUAGGAAAGGGAUGUGUUAUGGGUAUCUCAUGGUUACAGGACAGGGAAGGGGCUAAACAUCCUACAACACACGGGACACCCUGCGCAACAAAGAAUCACUCUGCCCCAAAUGGCAAUAGUGCUGAGAUUGAGAAAAGUUUUUCUGGACAAAGUUAGCAUCUCUGAGCUUCACUUUCAUGACCUUUGAAAAGGCCAUUGUUCUGAAAAUUCCUAUAACCUCUUCAUGCUAAAUAAAUGUGGCUGUUUUUCUUUUCAUCUGUUAGGAGAUAUGGACUAGUAGUUACAUUAUGAAUUCCUUUAUAUCUUUGAAGAGCACUUCUGGACCACAGAGACACAGAAAAGCAUUUCAUAGAUAUUCAGGGAUGGUUUCAGAACAGGCAUAGCAGAAUAGCUUACCCCUAACUGGGUGCAGGAGAGUUUUAAAAAAUA
rnacentral:tRNA from 10 species